rnacentral:rRNA from 1 species
AUUGAACGCUGGCGGCAGGCCUAACACAUGCAAGUCGAGCGAGCGGCGGACGGGUGAGUAAUGUAUGGGGAUCUGCCCGAUAGAGGGGGAUAACUACUGGAAACGGUGGUUAAUACCGCAUUCCACCGGAUGAACCCCGAUGGGCUUCGCUAGUAGGUGGGGUGAAGGCUCACCUAGGCGACGAUCUCUAGCUGGUCUGAGAGGAUGAUAGGCGACACGGGAACUGAGACACGGCCCAGACUCCUACGGGAGACAGCAGUGAGGAAUAUUGCGCAAGGGGCGAAGGCCUGAUGCAGCAAUGCCGCAUGUAGGAAGAAGGCCGUAGGGUUGUAAAGUACGUUCAGCAGAGAGGCGUUACCCGCAGAAGAAGCACCGGCUAACUCCGUGCCAGCAGCCGCGGUAAUUC